ensembl:lncRNA novel transcript
GAAAAAGAAACUUUCCUUCCCCCAGUGAAUGGCCCUUUACAACUCUGCCACUGAUGAGGAGACUGUGGUUAACUGGUAUCUGUCGUGAUUCACAUGAGACAAAAACUAUCUAUUACAGAAACCAUCAAAUACCAACAGCUGGGCCUGGACGUUAUUUGAUGAGCUUCUAGAGAUCUCCAAUGGAAGAAGACUCAUCUAAAAAAGGACCUUGCCUGGAAUGUGUUUAGAGUGGGAAAUACAGUGCUCUCAUGGGUACAGUGCACUCUUCAUGGAUAGCUACUAAAACUCCCUGCCCUGGCUCUGCUAUGAAGUUCCCCCUACCUAGAUGAGUGGCUUUGAAAGCAAAAGAUAAUGAUUGACAUCUGAGCAGUACAGAAGUUGAUACUGACAGCAGGCUGUACUACUUUGGCAAGAUGAUAAUGACUUAUAUAGAUGUGGCAAACCAGUUAAACUGUCUAAACAUGCCCAUAUGCAAUAGUUUAUUUUACUUUUAUUUAGUUGUUUAUUGAGAUAGGGUCUUACUCCCAUCCAGGAUGAAGUGCAGUGGCAUGAUCACGAUUCACUGCAGCCUCCAGUUUCUGGCCUCAAGUGAUCCUCUCACCUCAGCCUCCUGAGUAGCUGGAAUUACAGGUCAUACAAGUUACUGAUGAGGUGACAAGAUGGAAGAUCACUUCUCACAAAGAUGAUACCUUCUCACAAGGACUAAAAGGUUUCCAGAUAGAUUUGAGCUCUUUCCAUAUUGUGCACCAAUGAUGUCACAUGGCCCUCUCAUCCCAACCCCUAGAGGACCCUCAGUGAAUCAAAGGCAUAUCAAGAUUACAGAGCACUAUAUGUAAAUGAAGGGAUAGGUGAAGACUAAAUACCCUCAGAUUUAAAAAGCCUGUAGAAUGAUUUAUAAUCCUUUGGGUAUAAAGACACAUGCACAUGUAUGUUUAUUGCAGAACUAUUGUCAAUAGCAAAACUUGGAACCAACCCAAAUGCCCAUCAAUGAUAGACCGGAUAAAGAAAAUGUGGCACAUAUACACCAUGGAAUACCAUGCAGCCAUAAAAAAGAAUGAGUUCAUGUCCUUUAUAGGGACAUGGAUGAAGCUGGAAACCAUCAUCCUCAGCAAACUAACACAGGAACAGAAAACCAAAUACUGCAUGAUCUCACUCGUAAGUGGGAGUUGGACAAUGAGAACACAUGGACACAGGGAGGGGAACAUCACACACUGGGGCCUGUCGGGAGUGGAGGGAAAGAGGAGGGAGAGCAUCAGGACAAAUACCUAAUGUACACAAGGCUUAAAACCCAGAUGACGGGUUGAUAGGUGCAGCAAACCAUCAUGGUACAUGUAUAUCUGUGUAACAA